rnacentral:rRNA from 1 species
CAGUAGCCGCGGUAAUACGUAGGGUGCGAGCGUUAAUCGGAAUUACUGGGCGUAAAGCGUGCGCAGGCGGUUCGUUAAGACAGAUGUGAAAUCCCCGGGCUCAACCUGGGAACUGCAUUCGUGACUGGCAAGCUAGAGUAUGGCAGAGGGGGGUGGAAUUCCACGUGUAGCAGUGAAAUGCGUAGAGAUGUGGAGGAACACCGAUGGCGAAGGCAGCCCCCUGGGCCAAUACUGACGCUGAGGCGCGAAAGCGUGGGGAGCAAACAGGAUUAGAUACCCGCGUAGUCCCUGUCUCUUAUAC